rnacentral:lncRNA from 1 species
CUCUCUAACUGGUCUUUUGGGCCUUUGAGGGGUCAUUCCAAUAUUUCAAAGCAUAGUGCUUUGGAGGGAGAAAUAUGCUUGCUAAGUUAACUGAUUAAUUAUUGAGUGCCUCCUAUGACAAAGAAGACACAAGCUGGGUACUGUGAUGAAUUUUGCAGGUUCCCUUUCCUCUCUUAAAAAAUUCUCAGUCUCCUUCAAAAGUUCUCUAUCCUGUCUGUUCCCUACUGCCUGACCUCAGCCUCCUCUUGCUCUACAUAUAUACUCUGAGUCACUCUAUCCAUUUAUUUAGCUUUAAUUGCUGACAACUCCCAAAUUUGUUCUUCCAGCAAAAACCUCUUUCUCAAGCUCCAGAUGCUUCCAGGCAUCUCAAAUGCAGCACAUAUGAAACUGAACUAUCUUCUUUUUCUUUUUAUUCCUUCUGGGAUAAAAGGAGAAGUAAUUGUAGGAAAGGUUAUGAAACCAUUUUACGGAAAAGUAGUUAGAAAUUAAGCCAGGACAAUGUCAUUAAGUCUUCAGUGACAUCCCUAGGUACAGCUUUUGUGUUUUCAUCUCCUUUUGUGUUUUCAAGUGAAUAGCAGAAAAACCCUUUAAUGGUGUGCUUCCUGUACUGGGCUACACAGUGGUGUACCAAGGUAUAUAUGAAACCACAGUGUAAACAAGGCUUGUCUUCCCAAGACAUCAAUUUUGAUAGAAAAUUGUGUGUGUUCAUGUGUGUGUGUGUGUCUGUGUGUAAUGUACAAUAUUUAACUUGUGAGAAUUAAAAAUCUUAUUUUUCUAUUAAACAGAUAUGUUGUGGAACAGAAUGCAAAAAUGUCAGAAAAGUUUAGUUCUUUCCUGGAAAUGUAAGCACACAAACCAUUUCUAUUAUUAAGAUAUCUCAGAUUUAACUACCAAAUUUAAGGCUGGGCUC